rnacentral:rRNA from 1 species
CCCGCACAAGCAGCGGAGCGUGUGGUUUAAUUCGAUGUUACACGAAGAACCUUACCAGGGUUUGACAUGCAAGUGGUAGGAAGCCGAAAGGUGACCGACCCUUCGGGGAGCUUGCACAGGUGCUGCAUGGCUGUCGUCAGCUCGUGUCGUGAGAUGUUCGGUUAAGUCCGCUAACGAGCGCAACCCUCGCUGUGUGUUAUAUGUGUCACACGGGACUGCCGGUCUUAAGCCGGAGGAAGGUGGGGAUGAUGUCAAGUCAGCAUGGCCUUUAUAUCCUGGGCUACACACACGCUACAAUGGCCAACACAAUAGGUUGCUAAGCCGCGAGGUGGCGCCAAUCCAUAAAGUUGGUCUCAGUUCAGAUUGUAGGCUGCAACCCGCCUGCAUGAAGAUGGAGUUGCUAGUAAACGCAGGUCAGCCAUACUGCGUUGAAUACGUUCCCGGGGCUU